rnacentral:rRNA from 1 species
CACUGGGGGUAUUGCCUAAGAUACGGCGAGUGAGCGGCAAAAGCUCAAAUUUGAAAUCUGGCACCUUCGGUGUCCGAGUUGUAAUUUGAAGAAGGUAACUUUGGAGUUGGCUCUUGUCUAUGUUCCUUGGAACAGGACGUCACAGAGGGUGAGAAUCCCGUGCGAUGAGAUGCCCAAUUCUAUGUAAAGUGCUUUCGAAGAGUCGAGUUGUUUGGGAAUGCAGCUCUAAGUGGGUGGUAAAUUCCAUCUAAAGCUAAAUAUUGGCGAGAGACCGAUAGCGAACAAGUACAGUGAUGGAAAGAUGAAAAGAACUUUGAAAAGAGAGUGAAAAAGUACGUGAAAUUGUUGAAAGGGAAGGGCUUGAGAUCAGACUUGGUAUUUUGCGAUCCUUUCCUUCUUGGUUGGGUUCCUCGCAGCUUACUGGGCCAGCAUCGGUUUGGAUGGUAGGAUAAUGACUAAGGAAUGUGGCUCUACUUCGGUGGAGUGUUAUAGCCUUGGUUGAUACUGCCUGUCUAGACCGAGGACUGCGUCUUUUGACUAGGAUGUUGGCAUAAUGAUCUUAAGCCACCCGUCUUGAACAACGGACCAAAAAAAACCAAAAAACCCAGGGCCCGCGCGCGAACACCCCCACCCCCGGUCUCAGAGGUUCCUACCAUGCAGCGUCCAGCUUUUCCCCUUCCUGCCCCCCUGCCCGGCCGC